GACGAACGCUGGCGGCGUGCCUAAUACAUGCAAGUCGAGCGAACGGACGAGAAGCUUGCUUCUCUGAUGUUAGCGGCGGACGGGUGAGUAACACGUGGAUAACCUACCUAUAAGACUGGGAUAACUUCGGGAAACCGGAGCUAAUACCGGAUAAUAUUUUGAACCGCAUGGUUCAAAAGUGAAAGACGGUCUUGCUGUCACUUAUAGAUGGAUCCGGGCUGCAUUAGCUAGUUGGUAAGGUAACGGCUUACCAAGGCAACGAUGCAUAGCCGACCUGCGAGGCGGAUCGGCCACAUGGGAACUGAGACACGGUCCAGAGUCCUACGGGAGGCAGCAGUAGGGAAUCUUCCGCAAUGGGCGAAAGCCUGACGGAGCAACGCCGCGUGAGUGAUGAAGGUCUUCGGAUCGUAAAACUCUGUUAUUAGGGAAGAACAUAUGUGUAAGUAACUGUGCACAUCUUGACGGUAACUAAUCAGAAAGCCACGGCUAACUACGUG
rnacentral:rRNA from 1 species